rnacentral:rRNA from 1 species
UACGUAGGGGGCGAGCGUUACCAGGAUUUACUGGGCGUAAAGGGGGCGGAGGCGGCCGUGAAAGUCCGGUGUGAAAACUCACGGCUCAACCGUGGGACUGCGCUGGAAACUACACGGCUUGAGGACGGUAGAGGGAGACGGAACUGCUGGUGUAGGGGUGAAAUCCGUAGAUAUCAGCAGGAACGCCGGUGGAGAAGUCGGUCUCCUGGGCCGUUCCUGACGCUGAGGCCCGAAAGCUAGGGGAGCAAACCGG